UCUCCGUUGGUGAACCAGCGGAGGGAUCAUUACCGAGUUUACAACUCCCAAACCCACUGUGAACCCAUCGUAGUUGCCUCGGCGGGACGCCCCGGCGCCCUCGCGGCCCGGAGCCAGGCGCCCGCCGGCGGACCCAAACCCCCUGUAUCGCGGACGGAUCAUCUGAGUGGGCGAGCGAAACGAAUCAAAACUUUCAACAACGGAUCUCUUGGCUCUG
rnacentral:misc_RNA from 1 species